GACGAACGCUGGCGGCGUGCUUAACACAUGCAAGUCGAACGGUAAGGCCCUUCGGGGUACACGAGUGGCGAACGGGUGAGUAACACGUGGGUGAUCUGCCCUGCACUUCGGGAUAAGCCUGGGAAAAGGGGUCUAAUACCGGAUAGGACUCCGGACUGCAUGGUCUGGGGUGGGAAGCUUUUGCGGUGUGGGAUGGGCCCGCGGCCUAUCAGCUUGGUGGUGGGGUGAUGGCCUACCAAGGCGACGACGGGUAGCCGGCCUGAGAGGGUGACCGGCCACACUGGGACUGAGGUACGGCCCAGACUCCUACGGGAGGCAGCAGUGGGGAAUAUUGCACAAUGGGCGCAAGCCUGCUGCAGCGACGCCGCGUGGGGGAUGACGGCCUUCGGGUUGUAAACCUCUUUCAGCACCGACGAAGCGCAAGUGACGGUAGGUGCAGAAGAAGGACCGGCCAACUACGUGCCAGCCGCCGCGGUAA
rnacentral:rRNA from 1 species